GCUGCGCGCCUUGCGACAGGUGCCCCGCAAGGGGUGAAACAGGGAAGCUGGUGCGUUCCGUCGGAACCAGGCCAGCGCUGCCCCCGCAACGGUAGGCGAAUCAGACAGCCGCUCGAUGACCACUGUGCUCCGGCAUGGGAAGGCGCGGCUGGAAGCGUCCAGCGCUUCGCUCGCGAGCCCGGAGACCGGCCUGACGCACCCACGGCAUC
rnacentral:ncRNA from 17 species